rfam:Schistosoma margrebowiei strain Zambia genome assembly, scaffold: SMRZ_scaffold0003379
GCACUGCUGAGGAGUCCCAUACCAGGGCGAAACGGACGUCCAGUGC